rnacentral:sRNA from 1 species
UUUUAGCCCCGAUAGCAGCGAAAAUCCUUUUCCUUUUUUUCUUUAAAAAGGAAAAGAUUGCAACGAAUAGCGGGAUUAGCU